rnacentral:tRNA from 1 species
GCUUGAAUAGUUUUAAAAAGAAAAUAUUAAUUUGUGGUGUUGAUGAUGUAUAUAAAUACUUCAGGUA